CUACGGGACGCUCCAGUGGGGAAUAUUGGGCAAUGGGCGAAAGCCUGACCCAGCAACGCCGCGUGAAGGAAGAAGGUUUUCGGAUCGUAAACUUCUAUCCCAGGUGAAGAUAAUGACGGUAGCCUGGAAGGAAGCCCCGGCUAACUACGUGCCAGCAGCCGCGGUAAUACGUAGGGGGCAAGCGUUGUCCGGAAUGAUUGGGCGUAAAGGGCGCGUAGGCGGCCUUCUAAGUCCGAUGUGAAAGUCCUGCUUUUAAGGUGGGAAUUGCAGUGGAAACUGGAGGGAUUGAGUGCAGGAGAGGUAAGUGGAAUUCCCGGUGUAGCGGUGAAAUGCGUAGAGAUCGGGAGGAACACCAGUGGCGAAGGCGACUUACUGGACUGUAACUGACGCUGAGGCGCGAAAGUGUGGGGAGCAAACAGGAUUAGAUACCCGGGUAGUC
rnacentral:rRNA from 1 species